rnacentral:rRNA from 1 species
AUGUAUAUAAAGAAGGUUAUAAUCGAAGGGUUUAAAAGCUACAGGGAGGAGACCUCGACAGAACCUUUCAGCCCCAAAGUUAACGUAGUCGUUGGUGCAAAUGGAUCUGGCAAAUCAAAUUUUUUCCAUGCUAUACGCUUUGUCCUGAGUGACAUGUUUCAGAACCUGCGCAGUGAGGACAGGGGAGCUCUUCUCCAUGAAGGUGCUGGACACUCAGUUGUAUCUGCUUUUGUCGAGAUAAUUUUUGAUAAUUCAGACAACCGUAUUCCAGUUGAUAAAGAAGAGGUACGCUUGCGAAGGACAGUUGCUUCAAAGAAGGAUGAAUAUUACUUGGAUGGAAAACAUGUCAGUAAAACUGAAGUCAUGAAUCUGCUGGAGAGCGCUGGUUUCUCUCGAUCUAAUCCAUACUAUGUUGUCCAGCAAGGAAAGAUUGCAUCCCUUACUCUAAUGAAAGAUUCUGAACGACUGGAUCUUCUCAAAGAGAUUGGUGGUACUCGUGUUUAUGAAGAUAGGCGUCGGGAGAGCUUGAAAAUAAUGCAAGAAACAGCCAAUAAAAGGAAGCAGAUUGAUCAAGUUGUCCACUACCUGGAGGAGAGACUGAGGGAACUUGAUGAAGAGAAGGAGGAACUAAAGAAGUACCAGCAGCUGGACAAACAGAGAAGAUCACUUGAAUAUACUAUAUUGGACCAUGAACUAAAUGAUGCUAGAAAUGAAUUAGCUUCGAUGGAUGAUAAUCGAAGACAAAUUUCUGAAAGGAUGUCUCAAGCGGACAAUGAAGUGGUAGAGUUACGUGAGAGGGUCAAAAGUUUGGAGAAAGAAAUAAAAGCCUCUACUAAAGGGAUAAACGAAACCAAGUCUGAAAAGGAAGAUGCAGAGAAGAAGCGUACUGGAGCACUAAAGGUAGUUUCUCAGAUUGAACUUGAUCUGAGAGAUUUAAAAGACAGAAUUUCAAGUGAAAAACGAGCAAAGGAUGAAGCCGUAAGGGAGUUAAAUAGUAUGAGGAAAGAAAGUGAAAAGUCAAAGUCUGAAUUGGCUCAAAUUAGUAAGGUGCAUGCGGCCAAAUUGAAGGAAGAGGAAGAUAUAUCAAAAAGUAUAAUGGACCGCGAGAAGCGGCUGAGUAUAUUGUACCAAAAGCAGGGGAGGGCAACUCAAUUUAAGAAUGAGGCUGCCAGAGAUGAGUGGCUUCGGAAAGAAAUUCAUGAUCUUGAGCGUGUACUUUUAUCAAAUAGAAAGCAGGAAAGCUUACUUCAAGAAGAAAGUCAGAAGCUUAAAGACGAAAUUAAUAAGUUGACAAACCACAUUGAAUCUCGGAGAAGUGAAUCAAGCAAGUUAGAGGCUGUUCUUGCAGACAAGCAAAAGCAUCACAAUGACUUCACGAAGCAGAAAAAUGCACUUCAAGAUGAAAGGAAAUCAUUUUGGAAGGAGGAAAAUAGUGUGACAGCUGAAAUCGAUAGGCUAAAGGAAGAUCUUGUGAAGGCACAGAAGAGUUUGGACCAUGCAACACCUGGGGAUAUCAGGAGAGGCCUGAAUUCUGUUAGCAGAAUCAUCAGGGACCAUGGUAUUGGAGGAGUUUUUGGUCCAGUGUUAGAACUGGUUGACUGCGAAGAGAAGUUUUUUACAGCUGUUGAGGUCACUGCUGGGAAUAGCUUGUUCCAUGUGGUGGUUGAAAAUGACGAUAUAUCGACAAAGAUAAUUCAGGUAUUGACUCGAGAAAAAGGUGGACGGGUGACUUUCAUACCACUGAAUAGAGUGCACGCUCCGAACGUCAAUGUUCCACAGAGCUCUGAUUUUGUUCCACUGUUAAAGAAGUUAAAGUUUCGUGCUGAGCAUCGUCGUGCUUUUGAACAGGUUUUUGGUAGGACAGUUAUAUGCCGAGACCUGGAAACUGCGACCAGAGUUGCACGCAGCAAUAGUCUAGAUUGCAUCACACUUGAUGGUGAUCAAGUAGCGAAAAAGGGUGGCAUGACAGGAGGUUUCUAUGAUUCUAGACGCUCAAGACUGAAGUUUGUAAAAGUAAUCAGGGACAACAAAGCAGAAAUUGAAAAAAAGACGGCACAUCUAGAGAACGUGGGGAAAAAGUUAAAAGAUAUAGAUAAGAAAAUUACGGAUUUGAUUACCAAACAUCAGCAAAUGGACGCUGAACGUGAUCAUGCCAAGUCGGAGUUGGAACAGUUUAAAGCUGAUAUUGCCAGUGCAACGAAGCAAAAGGGAUCACUGGAGAAAGCCCUUGCAAAGAAGGAAAAAUCACUCGCGAACAUCCGCAACCAAAUUGAGCAAAUCCAAUCUGGCAUUGCAAUGAAAAAUGAUGAGAUGGGCACAGAACUGAUUGACCAGCUAACUUUAGAAGAAAGAGAUCUCCUUUCGCGACUGAAUCCUGAAAUUACAAAAUUGAAGGAGAAGUUCCUCUCAUGUAAAAACAGUCGCAUUGAGAUUGAAACAAGAAAGGAAGAACUGGAGAACAAUUUGUCAACUAAUCUUAUGAGGCGUCAGAAAGAGUUGGAAGCAAUAAUUUCAUCUGCAGAUUCUAAAACCUUGCCUGUUGAAGUCGAAGCAAAAGAGCAAGAAUUGAAAGAGUCUAAGAGGACUCUUGAUGAGGCGACGACAGUACUGAAAGCUAAUGUCGAUGCUAUUAAUGCCCAUACAAGACAGAUGGAGCAACUGAAAAAACAAAGGGAUGAUCUGAAGGCUCUUGAAGCUAAUUUGGAGCAGACGGUGCAAGAUGGUGCGAAAGACUUGGAACAGUUGAUGAGCAGUAGGAGCACGUAUCUUGUCAAGCAAGAUGAGUGUAUGAAGAAAAUCCGAGAUCUGGGCUCAUUGCCUGCUGAUGCUUUCGAAACGUACAAGAGAAAAAACAAGAAGCAGCUACAGAAGCUGCUCUAUGACUGCAAUGAGCAGUUGAAGCAAUUUAGUCAUGUCAACCAAAAGGCUCUUGACCAAUAUGUGAACUUCACUGAACAGCGUGAACAACUGCAGAGAAGACGGGCUGAACUUGAUGCUGGUGACGAGAAAAUUAGAGAGUUGAUAUCAGUUUUAGACCAAAGGAAGGAUGAAUCAAUUGAACGCACAUUUAAAGGAGUUGCAAGGCACUUCCGCGAAGUGUUCUCUGAAUUAGUGCAAGGUGGUCACGGAUACUUGGUUAUGAUGAAGAAAAAGGAUGGUGAUGCUGGCGAUGAUGACAUGGAUGAGGACGUGCCUCGUGAAGCAGAUCCUGAAGGGAGGAUAGAGAAGUAUAUUGGUGUGAAAGUCAAGGUUUCCUUCACUGGCAAGGGAGAAACUCAGUCCAUGAAGCAGUUGUCUGGAGGGCAGAAGACAGUGGUGGCAUUAACACUGAUCUUUGCUAUCCAACGAUGUGAUCCAGCUCCGUUCUACCUGUUUGAUGAGAUUGAUGCUGCUCUGGAUCCUCAGUACAGAACGGCUGUCGGGAGUGUGGUCCGGCGUCUGGCUGACCUGGCGGACACCCAGUUCAUAGCCACCACAUUCAGGCCGGAGAUCCUGAAGGUGGCGGACAAGAUCUACGGCGUGACACACAAGAACAGGGUGAGCUUCAUCAACGUGGUGUCCAAGGAGCAGGCCAUGGACUUCAUUGAGCACGACCAGACGGCCAACGCCAGCUGA